GCUGGCAUAAGUGAUGACUGAACUUUUUUCCCCGACAGAUCGACCAUGUUGAUCUAAAUUCUAAGCCAGUUACUGUCUGAUGUGCCAGC
rnacentral:snoRNA from 1 species